CCCAUAUUUAUUGGAGGCUUUGUUCAUUCCUUUUCAUUCUUUUUUCUCUAAUCUUGUCUUCUCACCUUAUUUCAGUAAGUUCUUAUUCAAUCUCUGAUAUCCUUUCUUCCCUGUGAUUGAUUCAGCUAUUGAUACAUGUGUAUGCUUCAUGAAGUUCUCAUGCUGUGUUUUUUUAGAUCCAUCAGCUCAUUUAUGUUCUUCUCUAAACUCUUUAUUCUAGUUAGCAGUUCCUGUAACCUUUAAUCAAGGUUCUUAGCUUCCUUGCACUGAGUUAGAUCAUGCUCCUUUAGCUCAGAUGAGUUUGUUAUUACCCAUCUUCUGAAGCCUACUUCUGUCAAUUUAUGAAACUCAUUCUCCAUCCAGUUUAGUGCCCUUGGGGGAAAGGAGUUGUGAUCAUUUGGAGGAGGAGGGGCACAGAACUGGGCUGAAGUUGAGAUGGAUGAACUGACAGAAGUAGGCUUCAGAAAGUGGGUAAUAAUGAACUUCACUGAACCAAAGGAUUAUGUUCUAACCCAAUGCAAAGAAGCUAAGAACAAUGAUAAAAGAUUACAGGAUUGGUUAACUAGAAUAACCAGUUUACAGAGGAGCAUAAAUGACCUGAUGGAGCUGGAAAACACAAGAGAACUUUAUGAUGCAUACACAUGAAAAAUAGCUGA
rnacentral:lncRNA from 1 species